rnacentral:lncRNA from 1 species
ACCACGUGACUUUUUCGCUAAUCUGGGGUGCCAAAAACAUGGCGGAUUCCUCGAUAAAGACAUUUGUGUGCCAGGAAUGCGGAAGGGCUUAUAAUUCCAAAAAAAAGCCUUCUGCGCCACGAAAGAGGCCACAGAAAUCUUGGACCUUACAUGUAUAACUGCGGCGAGCGGUCUUUUCCGGACAACAUUUCUGUGCGAAAAGCUAUUCCAGACUGGCGGCCAUGACAGAUGUGGGUGAGAAAUCAUAAAGAGUGACUGAGUACUUUGAUAUGUAGCAAAGAAGUUCAUUGUUGAUAAUAGUGUUUCUUUAUGAUUUAUUGAAUACGAUCAGAAAUACAGAGCUCUCAAUGCUGUAAACUUUUUGUUGUGAAAUUCGCCGCUGAAUCCAUUUCCAAAAGUGUUCGUUUUACUAUACAGCAAAGAAGGAGAAAUUGUA